UUACACCAGUUCCGCAAACAC
ensembl:piRNA 21ur-698 ncRNA